AAUUGCUCUGUGAUGAGCUAAGCUUUUACCUUGGGACACCUAUGAAAUGCCUUGAUUAGUGUAAUGUUAUAAAUGCUGAUAAAU
rfam:Drosophila mojavensis strain TSC#15081-1352.22 Ctg01_11523, whole genome shotgun sequence.